rnacentral:lncRNA from 1 species
CUUGGUGCUAGCUCAGGGCUCUCUCCAGUGUAAGCAGCACUUCUGAUAAAGGGGCAGUGUGUCUUUGAGGCUCUAGUGAGGGUCUUGGCACAGAUUGUGGCCCCAUUGGCUGGGGUGAAGCUGGGAGCUGCCAGUGACCUGCAGGGAGGGGUGCCUGCCUGAAAGAUGGAGACAGCCUGCAGGCCUUUGUUUACAGAGCCCAUCUCUCCUCUGAUGGAUGCGGCCAGCAGAAGUCUGUUUGCAAGUUUCUCCUGGAAACAUGAAUCAAGGGCCAGGCUACGCAUCUUUGGCAGGAACACCACGGUCAUUUCUUCUGUCUGCAUUGUUUCCAGGGCAGGUGUAAAGAAGGCCUGGGGUGACCCAGCAUCCUGACUUGGAGAAGAUCCUAUGGGGGAAGAGGGCCAUGGAGUGGUCAUCGCAGAUAAGGGGCCCUUUGGUGCUUUCUGUCCCAUGUGCGCUAAUAAUUCUUCAGCCACAGACAGCAUCUUGCGACAUCCAAAGUACUCUCAUAUCCAUGACUUUAUGUGACCCUCACAUUCUACCUUGAUUGGUGGGAAACUGAGGCUGGUAAAAGGAGAUGUGACUUGCCCAAGAUCACACAUCCAGCCAGCAGCCAAGUCAAGCUGUAGAGUGCAGUGGAUAAGAGGAUGGUAUCAGGCCAUCCUGGCUCUGCUGUGCUUAAGCCGUGUGGCCUUAGGCAUGUCAUUUCACCUCCCUGAGCCUCGGCUUCUUCAUUUAUCAGUAGGAAUAGUGCAGAAUUGUUCUGAG